rnacentral:rRNA from 1 species
CACGUAGGGCGCAAGCGUUGUCCGGAAUUAUUGGGCGUAAAGAGCUCGUAGGCGGUCUGUUGCGUCCGCUGUGAAAACUCGGGGCUUAACCCCGAGCCUGCAGUGGAUACGGGCAGACUAGAGGUAGGUAGGGGAGAAUGGAAUUCCGUGGUGUAGCGGUGAAAUGCGCAGAUAUCGGGAAGAACACCUAUGGCGAAGGCAGCUCUCUGGGACGGUACUGACGCUGAGACGCGAAAGCGUGGGGAGCAAACAGG